rnacentral:rRNA from 1 species
CGACCUGCCGUACCUGUGGGGGAUAGCCGGCCCAACGGCCGGGGUAAUACCGCAUACGAUUGCUUUGGGGCAUCCUGGGGCAAGGAAAGCUGGGGGCAACCCUGGCGCAGGACGAGGGGCUCGCGGCCUAUCAGCUAGUUGGCGAGGUAACGGCUCACCAAGGCAGUGACGGGUAGCUGGUCUGAGAGGAUGGCCAGCCACAUUGGGACUGAGAGACGGCCCAG